rnacentral:rRNA from 1 species
AGAGUUUGAUCAUGGCUCAGGACGAACGCUGGCGGCGUGCUUAACACAUGCAAGUCGAACGAGGUCCAUUCAGUAGCAAUACUGAUGAAGGCCGAGUGGCGAACGGGUGAGUAACACGUGAGAAACCUAUCCUGGUCUCUGGGAUAACAGUCGGAAACAACUGCUAAUACCGGAUGCCGUCGGAGCGCUGCAUGGCGCACUGACGAAAGGGUUACUGGAUCAGGAGGGUCUCGCGGCCUAUCAGCUUGUUGGUGGGGUAAUGGCCUACCAAGGCAUCGACGGGUAGCUGGUCUGAGAGGAUGAUCAGCCACACUGGGACUGAGACACGGCCCAGACUCCUACGGGAGGCAGCAGUGGGGAAUCUUGCGCAAUGGGCGAAAGCCUGACGCAGCAACGCCGCGUGCGGGAAGAAGGCCUUCGGGUUGUAAACCGCUUUCAGAAGGAACGAAACUGACGGUACUUUCAGAAGAAGGUGCGGCCAACUACGUGCCAGCAGCCGCGGUGACACGUAGGCACCAAGCGUUGUCCGGAUUUAUUGGGCGUAAAGAGCUCGUAGGCGGUUCGAUAAGUCGGGGUGUGAAAACUUUGGGCUCAACCCAAAGCGUGCAUUCGAUACUGUUGUGACUAGAGUUCGGUAGGGGGAGUGGGGAAUUCCUAGUGUAGCGGUGAAAUGCGCAGAUAUUAGGAGGAACACCGGUGGCGAAGGCGCCACUCUGGGCCGAAACUGACGCUGAGAGCGAAAGCGUGGGUAGCAAACAGGAUUAGAUACCCUAGUAGUCC